rnacentral:tRNA from 1 species
AUUUAAGUAGUUUAUAAAAAUAUUGAUUUGUGGAGUCAAAGUUGUAGAAAUACUACCUUAAAUA